UACGUAGGGGGCAAGCGUUGUCCGGAUUUAUUGGGCGUAAAGAGCUCGUAGGCGGUGUGUCGCGUCGGCCGUGAAAAACCUGCAGCUUAACUGUGGGCGUGCGGGCGAUACGGGCAGACUGGAGUACUGCAGGGGAGACUGGAAUUCCUGGUGUAGCGGUGGAAUGCGCAGAUAUCAGGAGGAAACACCCAAUGGCGAAAGGCAGCUCGCUGGGACGGUACUGACGCUGGAGACGCGAAAAGCGUGGGGAGCAAAACAGGAUUGAGAAA
rnacentral:rRNA from 1 species